CAGCCGCCGCGGGAAUACGUAGGUGGCAAGCGUUGUCCGGAAUUAUUGGGCGUAAAGCGCGCGCAGGUGGUUUAAUAAGUCUGAUGUGAAAGCCCACGGCUCAACCGUGGAGGGUCAUUGGAAACUGUUAAACUUGAGUGCAGGAGAGAAAAGUGGAAUUCCUAGUGUAGCGGUGAAAUGCGUAGAGAUUAGGAGGAACACCAGUGGCGAAGGCGGCUUUUUGGCCUGUAACUGACACUGAGGCGCGAAAGCGUGGGGAGCAAACAGGAUUAGAUACCCGAGUAGUCCCUGUCUCUUAUAC
rnacentral:rRNA from 1 species